GGAGCAUAAUGAUGCAUUUGAAAUUUUCCGAUCAAAUUUAUGAUGGAAUUACAACCUCCUACUCAUACUGA